AGAAAAUUUCAUCCAGAAUUAAGGAAACUGACAGCACUGUGGCUUCACACAAAAUAAGUCUGGCUCUUUUAGCCAGCUUGACUCUGGUUGAGAGGCAGAAUUUCCCCUUGGUUUGGGAACUGUGGCAUCACCAUCACAGCCAGCUCGCUGAUCACAAAGAUUACUGUGAAUUAAUCAGACCAGUGAUUUUUUUUUUAAUAAUAUAUUCCAAAUGACAUGCAGUUAAUUUUGGAAAACAAGCCUGGAUUAGCCUAUGAGCCAGAUAUUCCUCCGAACUUUGACUCCAAGGAAAAUAUGGAAUUCUGCAGGGCCUUCAUCUACCAGAGCACAAACACAGUCCUUCAAUGCGGGCCAGAAUGUCUAACACCUCUCUGGAGUAAAGUUUUAUGUCAAACUUUCCCUUAGGGUGAAGAAAUACUGAGGGAAUCUCCUGGAGGGACAGAGAGACUCAAGGUGAAAAUGUAUCCCCCAGGCACUAGCCAGAGCAAGUGUGGCCCAGCAGCUGCUGUCUAUCCCUAUGGACCUCUGAGCACCAGUGAUGACUCUUCUAGAAUUUCUGUCUUUUUCCAUCCUAAAGAAAAUACUAG
rnacentral:lncRNA from 14 species